GCGGGUGUAGCCAAGUGGUACGGCAAUGGCUUCCCAAGCCAUGAUCGCGGGUUCGAGUCCCGUCACCCGCUCCA
rnacentral:tRNA from 1 species